rnacentral:lncRNA from 1 species
AUGAUCAGUAUACUGAUCACUACCGACUUAUCAGUAUUUCAGGUCUAUACUUUGGCAUCUACUGACUUCUUCUGGCUAGAAAGAAAAAUGCUGAAAGAUAAAGUGGAGACCAAAGAAGACACAGCAAAGGUAGUAACUUUACAAUAUCUUAUGAUACUGAAGGGGGAGAGGAGAAGGACAGACACCAGGAGAUAUGCAGCUGCAGGUAAAUCGUGGAAGGCGCUGUUCGCUGUCGGAGAAGUGCGAUCCGUUCGUGGAGGAGCCGACGGGUCUGCGCGUGCAGCAACAUGGCAGGACCCGCCCAAUCCACUAAGUACCGUCCGCGGCGGCGGAAGCAGGUGAAGCGGCUGAAGCGGGCGGAGAGCGGCUUCCCCCAGCACGGCCCGGCCGAGGCGGCGCCGCCCGCGCUGGUCCCCGACGGAGGCGGAGGCGUCGGCGGCGUCGGUCCGUGCGCCGAGAGCCUGGCGCUGCCCUACGCGGAGCGCGGCUACGCGGCGGGGCCGGCGCGUUACCGGGACUGCCGAGCGUAGGCGCGUCGCUUCGCGCUUCGGGCUGCCCACGCCGGACCCGUCCCCGCUGGACGCGGCGCACGGCGAGGUGCCUUUCUUCGCGCCGGGGCCGCUGGACGAGUGCGCGCCGGGGCCCUACGGCGGCUACGG